AAGGCGCGCUCGCCCCACCCUCGCGCGGCUGCGGCCUCGCGCGGGCGCUAACGGCCGCUUCCCGCGGCCCCCGGUAGGUCGGUUGUAGCGGCGGGAGGGGCCCUGCUGCGGCGCCGCUYCCCGGCCUCGCUUCCCCUUCCGCCAGCCGCGGGGCGGCCCUGCGCGCGCGCUCCGCCGUUAACGGUCGCUAACGGUCGCUGCCGCGCGGCGCGGGCCUGUGAGGCCCAGGGGCUCUCCGGCGUCCUUUCGCCUUGUCCUCCGCUCAGAGCGCCUUUGCUGGGGCUAGGGGGAAGGAGCCUCCGCUAAAGCACAAGCGAGCGCUUCCAGCCUGCCUCAAGUGCGUCUCCUGCCUUCUGCCCCAGCAGGCGUGCUCGCAGCAGGCUGUGAAGCCCGGCCUGGCUGUAGCACGCUGCCCCUUUGCUGCGGAAAAGCUUAGCGUCUUGCAGCUAUGUGGGGUGCCAUCAGAUGAUUCACCUUCAAGUAGCAUCAGUAAAAAUUCUCUUGGAUGGUUUCAAAGCUGGAUUAGCUUUUGGAUUUCACUUCUGGUGUUCUGUGUAUGCUACCACUACAGAAUUCCUAUUACAGCACCUUUUCUUCAUGUCACUCCCAAAACAUAGACAUUAUAAUUAGGUGUCUGCAUUUUAAUGAGCACUUGUAGCUGUAUGUAAAUACUUUAAAAUCACAGUAUAGCAGAGUUCUAAAAGUGUUAAGGGUUUUUUAUUUUGUGCUAUGUAAGAUGGAUGUGUUUUUAAUAUGGUAGAAAAGCUAGUACUUUCCUGGGCAGUAUGACAAUAUUAUAUAUGAAUUAAAGCUACUUCUGAAUUGUCUGCUCAAGUUCCACUGUGACCGCUCAGUGUUUAUUAAAUAAUUUAUUGAUAACAUCUUGAAAUCUGCCUGUGAUAAAAUAUUCAUGUACCUAAUACAGUAUUUUCAUGCUAAAACAGCAGUGAUGACUGGCCAUGUAAAAUACUUUUAGUAAACUCUUUUAAUCUAAAAUAAGUCUAGUAUUUCUAAUCACUUAGUAAUUAUUUAAAAUUUUAAUUUUCCAGAGGAUGAAAUUAUGUCCUAGCCCUGCUGUAAAAAUUGUUUUUAUAGGCAUUUACUUCAUAUGAUUUAAAAUGAAGUCCUAGAUAAUGAUUUUGCAUUUGAGUGUUUAAUUACUGAUGUCAAUACAUAAACAUCAUAACUCUACUCAGAUAAUAAUUAAACUUAAACUGGUAGUAAAGGAAGUUUAGCUUCCUGGAAAUUUUAUCUGAAACUUUUCAGUACAAACUGAACUCCACUACAAGUCUGCAUCUACUACAUGUUUGGAAGUAUCAAUAUCAGAAAUGAAACAAUUUAGUUUUAUAUAAGAAAGUUGGGCAAUAGGUAAUUUCCAUUUUUAUGCUGUGUACAUUUAGUUUUAUGGGCUUUGAAGAGUAAAGUGGUGUUUAUUCUUUUACUAGUUAGAAAAACUAUUUUGAUCUUUAGUUAUUUUUAAAUUCAUAAGAAAAGGCCUAAUACAGUUUUUGGCAUUUGCUAAUAUUUAGCAUUACAUUUAUUGCACAAACCACAUUGUUUAAAGUCA
rnacentral:lncRNA from 1 species